rnacentral:rRNA from 1 species
AACGAACGCUGGCGGCAUGCCCAACACAUGCAAGUCGAACGAGACCUUCGGGUCUAGUGGCGCACGGGUGCGUAACGCGUGGGAACCUGCCCUUAGGUUCGGAAUAACUCCCCGAAAGGGGUGCUAAUACCGGAUAAUGUCUUCGGACCAAAGAUUUAUCGCCUUUGGAUGGGCCCGCGUUGGAUUAGCUAGUUGGUAGGGUAAAAGUCUACCAAGGCGACGAUCCAUAGCUGGUCUGAGAGGAUGAUCAGCCACACUGGGACUGAGACACGGCCCAGACUCCUACGGGAGGCAGCAGUGGGGAAUAUUGGACAAUGGGCGAAAGCCUGAUCCAGCAAUGCCGCGUGAGUGAUGAAGGCCUUAGGGUUGUAAAGCUCUUUUACCCGGGAUGAUAAUGACAGUACCGGGAGAAUAAGCUCCGGCUAACUCCGUG